UUCAACAUCAAAUCAAACAUAUUGUUUUGCUUUAGUCACCAUAAUUCUGUUCAGGUACCUGCCAAGCAUGUCUCCAACAGAGUCUGCAGAUCCCCCUGGUGCUGCUCCUCUUCACACAGUCUCAGCAGUCUGAAGAAUGAGGAGAGACACAGGGGAGAUACAUGCCUGGAGGAAAGGAGAGAUGGUGAUGAGCAAGAGAGAAAACACAAAGAGAGAUCAAGUGCAUGCAAAUCUCCUUAGCCAUUAGAGGCAGCAGGUUAAUGGCGAUUCCUCCCUGACUUUCAUCUUCAUCCAGAUUGUACGAAGCUGAGGCAGUGAAUGGAAAUGAGCUGCCACACACAAA